rnacentral:misc_RNA from 1 species
UCUCUCUCUCUCUCUCUCUCAUUUAUGGUUUCUUAGAUUCAUUUUUCUUUAAUCACAUUUUUUGGGAGGACAAAUUAAUUAUUCAAAUGAAGCUUUGAUAUUAUGUUAUUAAUGCAUUUACAGUGACAAAUUUUAAGCAAUUGAUGUAUUUUAGGGAAUUUAGAGCUUUGUAAUUGAAUUAGGGCUCAUUUGCAUGAGGAAAGAAAAGAAAUAUGUGGAUUGAAUCUUUGAACUGUAACAAUUGUGGCUUGAAUCUUGAACCAUAAAUAGAAGGAUUUUUGGGUGUAUAUAUGCACUUGUCUUAUAUAAUUAUUUCUUAAAAAUGAGAAAAAAUAUAAAUGGAAAUAAAAAAAAAUGAGAGAAAAAUAUUUGAUAUAUCCAAAACUUAAUUAAUUAAUGAUUCUUGUAUUUAUUAUGUCUUUUUACCUAUAAUUGGGCAGUUUGUUCCAUCCAUUAUUUUAGUUAGAAGAGAAGCAACUUGUUUGGGUUUUUGGCUUGACAUAUAUAAUGAAUAGGCUAUUUGUUAAUGGAGUUAUUGUCUAUCAAUAGAAUGGAAAAUUAUGUUAUGCUGACUUAUUUUGAACCUUAUUUAUAUAGGCAAUUGUGUUAUAUUUAUUUUUUAAUUAAUUAUGAUGCAGAACAUGACUUGUGGACAUUUAUAUGAAUACUGUAAUUUGUAUUAUAUUGAUAACAUUAUUAUAGAUGAUUUAAUGUUGUGGUACCCGUAACCUUUUGCCUUCACCAAUUCUCAAACCAGGCCGGGUCUGAAAACCAUGAUUGCUAUAUUUCAGUCACUCAAUUUUAGUUUGUUAAAAUAAAUUCCCCCAACUUCAGUUUUGUUUCAUAAAAAGUUCUCAUGACCUGCAAUAGCAGGUUUUCAAGUACAAAAGUAAAAUUACUAUUUUACCCCUCAUUCUAAAAUGAAAAUCAUCAUUUUGUCCUCUUUCCUUUUUCUUUCUCCCUCUCUCUUACAUUCUUAAUUUUUUGCAGUCAAAUUAAUUAACACUCAUGUAUCCAUAAAAUUAUUUUAUUUUUAAUAAAUUAUUAUUUUUUAAAUUUAUAAUAAAUUUAAUUAUUAAUUUAUAUUUUUAUGUGUUAUUAAUUUUUUUGUUAGUAAUUUAAAUUUAUUAAACUUUAAUUGAGUUCAUCAGUAAAUAAUUAUGUUUGCCCCUUUAAUUUUAGAACACUAUUUUCUAAAAUUUUAUUUCAAUUAAUAUAUUUAAUUCAAAGACCAGUAGGAUCUAAGUGAACUUGCAGAACUAGAAUAAAAGGAUGCAGAUAAUUAUUUCUUCAAAAACUUUUAAGGCUUUUGGUCAUUUCAAUAUUUGAAAUUAAGUUUGUAUUUAUUUGAGCUUGAAUGCCUGGGUCAAACCUUUCCAACUGAAAAUGAUGAGGAGACUGCUUCUAUAGCAUGCUUAGUCCCCAUCAACUAAAGUCAUCUGUAUGUGAAGAAUGCUUGUUUUCUCUUAGACAAUGGACUUACCUCAAAAAUGUUGCUUCCCUUCUUUGGUGAAUCCCUUGCUGAUAAUUUAAUUGAACAAUCAUAAAAUGUUUCAAGCUGCUUCUAAAAACUGUACAGAAAUGAGCAUGAUUGUAAUUCAUCAGAAGAUGGUUCAUUGUAUUGUCAGCAUGUCUACUUCUGACAUCUGAUUGGAGUUUCUCAUCUUUUGAAUUGUUUAUUGAAAAUAAUGGUAUUCUCUUUUUUUUUUAAUUUUUUUUUAAUUUUUUUAGACAACUUAUGCUUCUUGUACCUAAGUAAUAACAUCUAGGGGGGCAGGUUACAUAUGCUUGUUGUACCUUGUAAUUGAUAGUGCAGUGACUGACUAAUUUGUGAUGAAUGUUGGAUUUGUUUGUGAUUGAUAUAUUUCUAACUACCAAUAAAAAUGGUUGUCUGUAACUGCUUCCUCUUUCUGCAAAUUUGAUUAGCUUAUAUCUUUCCUUUUUUAGAAUGCAUUGCGGCAACAGAGAUUUGUGCGUGAAGUUACAAUACAGUACAAUCUUUGCAAUGAGCCAUGGUAAACAUGAUUUCUUUGUGAUAGGUGCUGCAUUAUUCUUUGAAGAUCUGUAUUCUGUAUGGGAUUUGGGGAUAUUUAUAUAUUCUUGGAAGUGUAAAUGCAUGUCAUUGUGCAGAAAGGUUUGGAGGAAAGAGGACUUCUCCAAAGAGGACUUCCUGUUGGAGAAGUCCUCUUUCUAAAUAACAUUAACAUCCACUAAAUUUAGCUUGUGUGUGUGUGUCUGUGUGCCAAUCCAUGUAUUGAAAGCCUAUAGACCUCUCAAUGCACCAAAGUUAUGUGUUUGGCGCAAGGUUAUUAAUGUGUAGUUUGACCCUGUUUCUCCUGCAGUAUAAUGAAAUAAAAUGAAAAAAAUUACUUUGAAAUUAUUUCCCUUCAUAACAACUCUCAACUCUGAUCUUUUUGUCCAUAUGAACUGAAUUCAAAUGUCUAGUUUUUAGAUUGUUAUUAAAGCUUGUAACCUCUUUGUUAUAGAUGUUGAUUAAAUGCAUAGAUUUCUGGUGCAUAUUUUAUUGAAUUUUCUUCUGGCUUAUUAGAACUGUUGACUUGUGAAGUUGCUAAUCCUCUCCCCUUAAGAGAAAUUGUCUAGCAAGGACGUUGACAUGAUUUGUCACUUGGUUGUCACUGCUAAUUUCAUUUGAACCUUCAGCCCCUCUUUGCAUAUUUUUUCUCUUUCCAUAUUAUGUGUUGUUUCUUUUGUAUAUCAUUUGUAGAUUUCAUUAAUCAUGCUUUAAUUUCAAUCAUAUGUGGUUUUAGUUUUCAGCUUUUCUGAGAGGUGUUAUUAUUAUUAUUAUUAUUA